UACAGAGGUCCCGAGCGUUGUUCGGAUUCACUGGGCGUAAAGGGUGCGUAGGUGGUGGGGUAAGUCUCGUGUGAAAGCUCGCAGCUCAACUGCGAAAAGUCACGGGAUACUAUUCCGCUGGAGGGUUGGAGGGGGGACUGGAAUACUUGGUGUAGCAGUGAAAUGCGUAGAUAUCAAGUGGAACACCAGUGGCGAAGGCGAGUCCCUGGACAACACCUGACACUGAGGCACGAAAGCCAGGGGAGCAAACAGG
rnacentral:rRNA from 1 species